rnacentral:tRNA from 1 species
GCACCCUUAGCUUAGCUGGAUAAAGCGUCUGGCUUCGGACCAGGAGAUCGGGGGUUCGAAUCCCUCAGGGUGCA